AUAAGAGGCCUUCACAUAGGAUGGUUGUGAAAAUUAAAGCAGAUAACCAACGUAAAGGACUUAGUGGAAAAAUGAAGGGAACUAAUGGAAUUCUAAAACUAAGUAUCAAAGUUCUUGGAAACUCUCCAGCCUCCAAGGCCCAAAGUACUUCCAUUUGCCUUGAUAGCAAGGACAUCAUUCUACUGUAGGAUCCACAAGUUAUCUCCUUCUGAGUUCAUAACAGGCUGCCUCAUGUACUUGGGAAUUAUUUCCAAUAUAGAUUCUACCUUAAAACAAGCUGAUAUGACUAAUUGCUGCAGGGGACCCACACUAUAACUCCUGCUUUACCAACAAUAGGUGGAAGCUGCAUUUCCAAAGCACCUACCUAAGCAGUUUCUGCAGGAUCUGAAAUCCAGAGAUUUCUGAAAAAACCAUCAGAAAAAAAAAAAUUUCCCUUGAUCCUCAAUGGAAAAAUCUCAUCAGCCACCGUUAAGGACAACCCAACUGUAAAACUACAAGGCUUUGAUCCUUGAAUUCAUGUUACUCAACAAAAAAUACAUGCAUCAUUUUUUCUGGGAUAUUGGAUGUCUAAUCCAUUCAUUGCAAGACCUCAAACCAAAGAUUCUCAGGAAUUCUCCAGAGCUGCUGACUACAGAAAUGGAUAGCGUAUGCCCAUUACAACAGAACAAGACUGAUUUUCUGAUUCUUCAGUAUCCUUCACCCUACCACUAAUCUUGCCUAUUAUUGUUCUUUGACAACCCUUUUAACUAACAAAAUGAUGUCUCUAUAUGAUCCCCUUGAUCUUCAUACUGUUACUUUUGACUCCUUGUGCUCUUCUGCCACUUACAAAAAAGCAAUUUUAAAAAAGAAAGAAAAGAAUAGAAAAACAA